rnacentral:rRNA from 1 species
CCUACGGGAGGCAGCAGUGAGGAAUAUUGGUCAAUGGCCGGAAGGCUGAACCAGCCAUGCCGCGUGAAGGUCAGUGCCCUAUGGGCGUUAAACUUCUUUUGUGCGGGAGCAAUAAUGGUCACGUGUGGCCAGACGAGAGUACCGUACGAAUAAGCAUCGGCUAACUCCGUUCCAGCAGCCGCGGUAAUACGGGGGAUGCAAGCGUUAUCCGGAUUUAUUUGGGUUAAAGGGUGCGUAGGCUGUGAGGUAAGUCAGCGGUGAAAUGUCCCCGCUCGAGGGGGUAAAGUGCCAUUGUUACUGCCUUGCUGGAAUGCGGAUGCCGUGGGAGGAAUGUGUGGUGUAGCGGUGAAAUGCAUAGAUAUCACACAGAACACCGAUUGCGAAGGCAUCUCACGAAGCCGCGAUUGACGCUGAUGCACGAAAGCGUGGGUAUCAAACAGGAUUAGAUACCCUUGUAGUC